UCCCUGGUUGAUCCUGCCAGUAGUCAUAUGCUUGUCUCAAAGAUUGAGCCAUGCAAGUCUCAGUGCAAGCCAUAUUAAGGUGAAAUCGCGAAUGGCUCAUUAAAUCAGUUAUGGUUUCUUAGAUCGUACCCACAUUUACUUGGAUAACUGUGGUAAUUCUAGAGCUAAUACAUGCAAACAGAGUUCCGACCAGAGAUGGGAGGAAUGCUUUUAUUAGAUCAAAACCAAUCGGUGGCGGGUUCGUCCCGUCCGCCGUUUACUUUGGUGACUCUGAAUAACUUUGGGCUGAUCGCACGGUCUUGGUACCGGCGACGCAUCUUUCAAAUGUCUGCCUUAUCAACUGUCGAUGGUAGGUUCUGCGCCUACCAUGGUUGUAACGGGUAACGGGGAAUCAGGGUUCGAUUCCGGAGAGGGAGCCUGAGAAACGGCUACCACAUCCAAGGAAGGCAGCAGGCGCGCAAAUUACCCACUCCCGGCACGGGGAGGUAGUGACGAAAAAUAACGAUACGGGACUCAUCCGAGGCCCCGUAAUCGGAAUGAGUACACUUUAAAUCCUUUAACGAGGAUCAAUUGGAGGGCAAGUCUGGUGCCAGCAGCCGCGGUAAUUCCAGCUCCAAUAGCGUAUAUUAAAGUUGUUGCGGUUAAAAAGCUCGUAGUUGAAUCUGUGUCCCACGCUGUCGGUUCACCGCUCGCGGUGUUUAACUGGCAUGAUUGUGGGACGUCCUACCGGUGGGCUUAGCCUUUCGGGGCGGCCCAACUAAUAUCCCAUCGCGGUGCUCUUCAUUGAGUGUCGAGGUGGGCCGGUACGUUUACUUUGAACAAAUUAGAGUGCUUAAAGCAGGCUAUUUUCGCCUGAAUACUGUGUGCAUGGAAUAAUGGAAUAGGACCUCGGUUCUAUUUUGUUGGUUUUCGGAACCCCGAGGUAAUGAUUAAUAGGAACAGAUGGGGGCAUUCGUAUUGCGACGUUAGAGGUGAAAUUCUUGGAUCGUCGCAAGACGGACAGAAGCGAAAGCAUUUGCCAAAAAUGUUUUCUUUAAUCAAGAACGAAAGUUAGAGGUUCGAAGGCGAUCAGAUACCGCCCUAGUUCUAACCAUAAACGAUGCCAGCUAGCGAUCCGCCGAAGUUCCUCCGAUGACUCGGCGGGCAGCUUCCGGGAAACCAAAGCUUUUGGGUUCCGGGGGAAGUAUGGUUGCAAAGCUGAAACUUAAAGGAAUUGACGGAAGGGCACCACCAGGAGUGGAGCCUGCGGCUUAAUUUGACUCAACACGGGAAACCUCAUCAGGCCCGGACACCGGAAGGAUUGACAGAUUGAGAGCUCUUUCUUGAUUCGGCGGGUGGUGGCGCAUGGCCGUUCGCAGUUGGUGGAGCGAUUUGUCUGGUUAAUUCCGAUAACGAACAAGACUCUAGCCUGCUAAAUAGGCGUACUUGCCGGUAUCUCAAAGGCCCCCGGCUUCGGUCGGGAGGUUUUCACUACCGGCGUACAAAUAAAUCUUCUUAGAGGGACAGGCGGCUUCUAGCCGCACGAGAUUAAGCAAUAACAGGUCUGUGAUGCCCUUAGAUGUUCUGGGCCGCACGCGCGCUACACUGAAGGAAUCAGCGUGUCUUCCCUGGCCGAAAGGCCCGGGUAACCCGCUGAACCUGCUUCGUGCGAGGGAUUGGGGCUUGCAAUUAUUCCCCAUGAACGAGGAAUUCCCAGUAACCGCGAGUCAUUACUCGCGUUGAUUACGUCCCUGCCCUCUGUACACACCGCCCGUCGCUACUACCGAUUGAAUGAUUUAGUGAGGUCUUCGGACUGGUACGCGGCAAUGCCUCGGCAUUGCCGAUGUUGCCGGGAAGAUGACCAAACUUGAUCAUUUAGAGGAAGUAAAAGUCGUAACAAGGUUUCCGUAGGUGAACCUGCGGAAGGAUCAUUA
rnacentral:rRNA from 1 species